CAUUGACAAGGACAUCGUCAUGGACCAGUGGUGAAGAGCCUCGAGAGAAGGUUAAUUUUUCGAAAGGAGAAGUCCACUAUUUCAGCUUCAUCAUUCAGCCUGGAAACUGAACUGCUUCAUAAAACUUGUGCUUGAAAAGUGUCAUGGGACCCAUAUUAAGUUUCCAAAUUUGAUCUGCUGCACACAAGUAGCUUUGAAGAAGAAGGAUCCCAGCUUAAAGAAAAACAUGUGUCACAUCCAUAAUUGUUUGACAUCAUCUUCAAGCACACCUGGAUUCCUUGUUGCAAUGUCUUCAAAACAAAUGUAAAAAUGAAAGGAUUUCAGUGGUGAGCUCAUAAUGAUGGGAUCAAAAGGAAGUGAACUGGACUCUGAGGGACUUAAC